rfam:Aedes albopictus isolate Foshan contig160950, whole genome shotgun sequence.
UGGCUAAGUUGGGUAAAGCGCCGAUCCAUCGAAUACGGAGUCGUGGGUUCGAAUCCCAC